rnacentral:rRNA from 1 species
GACGAACGCUGGCGGCGUGCUUAACACAUGCAAGUCGAACGAUGAAGCCCAGCUUGCUGGGUGGAUUAGUGGCGAACGGGUGAGUAACACGUGAGCAACGUGCCCGAAACUCUGGAAUAACUACCGGAAACGGUGGCUAAUACUGGAAAUGUGCCAGGGAGGCAUCUCCUCUGGUUGGAAAGAUUUGUCGGUUUCGGAUCGGCUCACGGCCUAUCAGCUUGUUGGUGGGGUAAUGGCCUACCAAGGCGACGACGGAUAGCCGGCCUGGGAGGGUGACCGGCCACCCUGGGACUGAGACACGGCCCAGACUCCUACGGUAGGCAGCAGGGGGGAAUAUUGCACAAUGGGCGCAAGCCUGAUGCAGCAGCGCCGCGUGAGGGAUGACGGCCUUCGGGUUGUAAACCUCUUUUAGUAGGGAAGAAGCGCAAGUGACGGUACCUGCAGAAAAAGCACCGGCUAACUACGUG